GAUGAAGAACGUAGCGAAAUGCGAUAAGUAAUGUGAAUUGCAGAAUUCAGUGAAUCAUCGAAUCUUUGAACGCACCUUGCGCUCCUUGGUAUUCCGAGGAGCAUGCCUGUUUGAGUGUCAUUAAAUUCUCAACCCUUUCAGCUUUUGCGAGCUGGAUUGGCUUGGAUAUGGGGGUUUGCGGGCUUCUCAGAAGUCGGCUCCUCUUAAAUAUAUUAGCGGAACCUUUGUGGACCAACUUUGGUGUGAUAAUUAUCUACGCCAUGGUUGUGAAGCAGCUUUACAUGGGGUUCAGCUUCUAAUCGUCUAUUAACUUGGACAAUUUCUGACAUUUUGACCUCAAAUCAGGUAGGACUACCCGCUGAACUUAAGCAUAUCAAUAAGCGGAGGA
rnacentral:misc_RNA from 1 species